CCCGGUGAGAUUUAAACGGCCGCAGUUAGGAGCUGUGCUAAGGUAGCGUAGUAAGUUGUCCUUUAAAUGGGGAAAGGAAUGAAUGGUUUGACGUGAGAAUUACUGUCUCCAGUGAAGUUUGAAAAAUUUUCUUCUUGGUGAAAAGCCCAAGAUUUUUUUAAAAGACGAGAAGACCCUUUCGAGCUUGAUAAAUUAAUAAAUAAUUUUAUUAUUUAAGUUUAGUUGGGGCAACUUAGGAGCAAGGGUAGACUCCUUUAAGAUAAUAUAGAUCCAAAAGUUUUGAAUAAAGAAAAAGCUACCGUAGGGAUAACAGCGUUAUCUCCUCUGAGAGAACAAAUUGAAGAGGGG
rnacentral:rRNA from 1 species